rnacentral:tRNA from 1 species
GGGCCCGUAGCUCAGUGGUAGAGCGGUCGGCUCAUAACCGAUUGGUCGCAGGUUCGAUCCCUGCCGGGCCCA